GAUAAACGCUGACAGAAUGCUUAACACAUGCAAGUCUAUGAGGAAGUUUAGCUUGCUAAAUGGACUCAUGGCGGACGGGUGAGUAACGCGUAAAGAACUUGCCCUUUAGACUGGGAUAACAGAGGGAAACUUCUGAUAAUACUGGAUAAGUUAGUAUAUCGCAUGAUAUGCAAAUGAAAGCUACGGCACUAAAGGAGAGCUUUGCGUCCUAUUAGCUAGUUGGUAAGGUAAGAGCUUACCAAGGCGAUGAUAGGUAGCCGGCCUGAGAGGGUGGACGGCCACAAGGGGACUGAGAUACGGCCCUUACUCCUACGGGAGGCAGCAGUGGGGAAUAUUGGACAAUGGAGGAAACUCUGAUCCAGCAAUUCUGUGUGUGUGAAGAAGGUUUUAGGACUGUAAAACACUUUUAGUAGGGAAGAAAAAAAUGACGGUACCUACAGAAGAAGCAACGGCUAAAUACGUGCCAGCAGCCGCGGUAAUACGUAUGUUGCGAGCGUUAUCCGGAAUUAUUGGGCUUAAAGGGCAUCUAGGCGGUAAGACAAGUUGAAGGUGAAAACCUGUGGCUCAACCAUAGGCUUGCCUACAAAACUGUUGAACUAGAGUACUGGAAAGGUGGGUGGAACUACACGAGUAGAGGUGAAAUUCGUAGAUAUGUGUAGGAAUGCCGAUGAUGAAGAUAACUCACUGGACAGAAACUGACGCUGAAGUGCGAAAGCUAGGGGAGCAAACAGG
rnacentral:rRNA from 1 species